AUUCCAGCUCCAAUAGCGUAUAUUAAAGUUGUUGCGGUUAAAAAGCUCGUAGUUGGAUUUCUGCUGAGGACGACUGGUCCGCCCCCUGGGUGAGCAUCUGGUUCGGCCUGGGCAUCUUCUUGGGGAACGUAUCUGCACUUGAUUGUGUGGUGCGGUAUCCAGGACUUUUACUUUGAGGAAAUUAGAGUGUUUCAAGCAGGCCCGCGCCUUGAAUACAUUAGCAUGGAAUAAUAAGAUAGGACCUCGGUUCUAUUUUGUUGGUUUGCACGCCGAGGUAAUGAUUAACAGGGACGGUUGGGGUUCUUCGUAUUCAAUUGUUAGAGGUGAAAUUCUUGGAUUUAUGGAAGACGAACUGCUGCGAAAGCGUCGAACAAGGACGUUCUCAUUG
rnacentral:rRNA from 1 species